rnacentral:lncRNA from 1 species
UUUGAAAUCAUUGUCGGUCAUUUCCUGUUGUAACGCAAGCAAGACUGUUUAGUUCACGUCUCCCCCAAACAUACAAGGAAAGAAAAAGUAAUAUGUGGAAUCACUUGAGGGCCGGGUCAGCGCUGAAGUUUCCACAAGUAUAUUUUCACAGGAGAGCACAAGAUCCAUAUGACCGUCUAUUUUCUGCCAACACAGCAACAUGAAAAUCCAUCAUCUGCAACUCAUGAUCGCCCUGGAAUCGGAAAAUCAAUUCUCUAAAAGACCCCUCCUUAAUCCCGUUUUUCGCUGGCCACAAAGGCCACUUGUGUGCGACCCCGCUGGACUAUGGACUGGGAUGAUGUGGAUGUCUGCUUGGAUUCCAAGCCUUUCAGAGAGUCCGUGGAUCAAAACCUCCGUUUGACUGCUGGGAAAACAGAAGCCAAACAUCCAAACAGCUACCAACAAACCCCCAGGCCCUCGUGGUGCAUCUUGUUCAUGUUUCAGGUUUGUGGGAUGCCGCUGUCAGCCGUGACGUAGUGGGGGGGUUUGCAACAUGCUGUGGAUGUGAUCCAGGAGUGAAUAAAUAAAAGAUAAGGACCUGAGAUUCACAGCCAUUAAAGCUGUGACAUUAUGUAAGCAUAUAGGUUUUGUUUUUCUGUCUGUCUCACCAAAUGGAUCACCAUGUGGUCCACCUCUCUUCAAAAUGUCUUUUUUUUUUAAAACAAAAUGAGUCGUUAGCCUUUUAAAACAAUGUUUUAUUAGUCUAAUUAGAGUAGUUUGUGUGCAUUUUCUAUUUUACAGUAUUUUCUCAUUGUUUUUGCAGUUUUAAUGUUGUUUUUGUUAUUAGGUGCAGUAACUCACAGU